UACAGAGGUCUCAAGCGUUGUUCGGAAUCACUGGGCGUAAAGGGUGCGUAGGCGGCGGAGUAAGUCGGGUGUGAAAUUUGAAGGCUCAACCUUCAACUAGCACCUGAUACUGCUUUGCUUGAGGUCUGAAGAGGAGCUUGGAAUUCUCGGUGUAGCAGUGAAAUGCGUAGAUUUCGAGAAGAACGCUCGCAGCGAAAGCGAGGCUCUGGUCAGAUUCUGACGCUGAGGCACGAAGGCUAGGGGAGCAAACGGG
rnacentral:rRNA from 1 species